CAAUAGCGUAUAUUAACGUUGUUGCAGUUAAAAAGCCCGUAGUUGGAUUUCUGGAGGGAGCGUCGGCCCGUAUUUACGAGUGCGUGACGUCUCUGUCCAUCCUUGCGGGAAGGCACGGCAUUGAUUUGUUGUGUCGGAUCGCAUCAUUUACUGUGAAAAAAUUAGAGUGUUCAAAGCAGGCUUUCGCUUGAAUACAUUAGCAUGGAAUAAUAAGAUAGGACUUUGGUGCUAUUUUGUUGGUUGAGCCUAAAGUAAUGAUUAAUAGGGAUAGUUGGGGGCACCUGUAUUGCGUUGUCAGAGGUGAAAUUCUUGGAUUUACGCAAGACAAACAGCUGCGAAANCGNNNGCCAAGGAUGUUUUCAUNAA
rnacentral:rRNA from 1 species